rnacentral:rRNA from 1 species
ACSCCUUGGGGCNCAAUMCCCCCGNAGGAAGGACAUCACUCACAGAAGAAGCACCGGCUAACUCCGUGCCAGCAGCCGCGGUAAUACGGAGGGUGCGAGCGUUAAUCGGAAUUACUGGGCGUAAAGCGCGCGUAGGCGGCGUGAUAAGCCGGUUGUGAAAGCCCCGGGCUCAACCUGGGAACGGCAUCCGGAACUGUCAGGCUAGAGUGCAGGAGAGGAAGGUAGAAUUCCCGGUGUAGCGGUGAAAUGCGUAGAGAUCGGGAGGAAUACCAGUGGCGAAGGCGGCCUUCUGGACUGACACUGACGCUGAGGUGCGAAAGCGUGGGUAGCAAACAGGAUUAGAUACCCUGGUAGUCCACGCCGUAAACGAUGUCGACUAGCCGUUGGGGUCCUAGAGACCUUUGUGGCGCAGUUAACGCGAUAAGUCGACCGCCUGGGGAGUACGGCCGCAAGGUUAAAACUCAAAUGAAUUGACGGGGGCCCGCACAAGCGGUGGAGCAUGUGGUUUAAUUCGAUGCAACGCGAAGAACCUUACCUACCCUUGACAUCGUGCGAACUUGGUAGAGAUACCUUGGUGCCUUCGGGAACGCAUARACAGGUGCUGCAUGGCUGUCGUCASCUCSYGUUGUGAAAWGUUGNGGUUAA